UUGUUGACAAAGUGCAUCGUGUCUCGCCGGGGUCAGGGUCAAGAUUAAGCCAGAAUUUGGCCCGAAGUUGGCAAAAAUCGGCUGAAAUGCAAAGUGAGAAGAGCUUUCCAGUCAUCGCAGCAGCACGCAAUCCAGCCAGAUUCGUCAUUCGCCGGCGGAAAAAUGCUGCUCUUCUAAUUUUGGGGACAUCUCUCAGCAGCGGUGAUGCCGGUUGGACGGAAAAGAG